rnacentral:piRNA from 1 species
UGCUUUACAGGUUGAUUAGGGUUUCUCACC